UACGGAGGGUGCGAGCGUUGUUCGGAAUCAUUGGGCGUAAAGGGCUCGUAGGUGGCCAACUAAGUCAGACGUGAAAUCCCUCGGCUUAACCGGGGAACUGCGUCUGAUACUGGAUGGCUUGAGUUUGGGAGAGGGAUGCGGAAUUCCAGGUGUAGCGGUGAAAUGCGUAGAUAUCUGGAGGAACACCGGUGGCGAAGGCGGCAUCCUGGACCAACACUGACACUGAGGAGCGAAAGCCAGGGGAGCAAACGGG
rnacentral:rRNA from 1 species